rnacentral:rRNA from 1 species
CGGGCUUGAAUUGUAGGAGCACGAUACAGAGAUGUUGAGGUCCUUCGGGACUCCUAUGAAGGUGCUGCAUGGUU